rnacentral:misc_RNA from 1 species
GAUGAAGAACGCAGCGAAAUGCGAUAAGUAAUGUGAAUUGCAGAAUUCAGUGAAUCAUCGAGUCUUUGAACGCACAUUGCGCCCCCUGGUAUUCCGGGGGGCAUGCCUGUCCGAGCGUCAUUGCUGCCCUCAAGCACGGCUUGUGUGUUGGGCCCCCGUCCCCGGUUUCCCCCGGGGACGGGCCCGAAAGGCAGCGGCGGCACCGCGUCCGGUCCUCGAGCGUAUGGGGCUUUGUCACCCGCUCUGUAGGCCCGGCCGGCGCCAGCCGACACACAACUUUAUUUCUAAGGUUGACCUCGGAUCAGGUAGGGAUACCCGCUGAACUUAAGCAUAUCAAUAGCGGAGGA